GCCGAGUUAGCCAACGUGGUCAAGGCACGGGUCUGAAGAACCUGGGACGCUGGUUCGAUUCCAGCACUCGGCA
rnacentral:tRNA from 1 species